UCUAGGAAAGAAUCUGGAGACAGGUGCUGCAUGGCUGUCGUCAGCUCGUGUCGUGAGAUGUUGGGUUAAGUCCCGCAACGAGCGCAACCCUUGCCUUUAGUUGCCAGCAGUUCGGCUGGGCACUCUAAAGGGACUGCCGGUGUUAAACCGGAGGAAGGUGGGGAUGACGUCAAGUCCUCAUGGCCCUUAUGUCCAGGGCGACACACGUGCUACAAUGGCCGGCACAACGGGAAGCGAGUUCGCGAGGACGAGCGGAUCCCUCAAAGCCGGUCGCAGUUCGGAUUGAAGUCUGCAACUCGACUUCAUGAAGCUGGAAUCGCUAGUAAUCGUGGAUCAGCCAAGCCGCGGUGAAUACGUUCCCGGGCCUU
rnacentral:rRNA from 1 species